CUAGUGUUUUUUUUUAUCAAGAUUAUCUCAGAUCAUAAGGACUUGAAAAACAUUUGAGUUAGUUGCUAUAUUUCUGAGACUAUAUUUGAUUUUUAUAAAUGCUUUCCUUUAAGCCAAUUAAAGAUCUUUACAGAUUAAUUUUGUCAAUACCACCUGGAGGUAGAAAAAUAUCACAUAUCUAUACCGUACAUAACAUAGAUUCACAUAACAUAGAUUCACAUAACAAGAUUCACUUAUAGCUUUUGUUUAGAAAUUUUAGCCAUGUCUCAGGUACAAAACUCAAAAAGAAAAUAAUUGGAUCCAAAUUGUGCUUCUGGCAGAUGGACUAAGUUAAGAUUACCUGCUCAGAUGGCCAAAAUCUUUUAUAUAAAAAUUUUCUUAAUUGGCGUGCUGAAAGGAUUUUUAGAACUGUUUUUCAAGUCAUGUUAGUCUUUUAGAAGCUUCUGCAUAUCAAAGAAGAUAUUCCAUUGUCUCCAAGAGUUUGGAAUCAUCACUGCCCAGGGUGCCCCUUACAGUGGACUUAACUGAAACAAACAUUCCCCAGAAUGGCCAUGACAAUCCAAAUUAUCUAAAAAUUCACCCAUUUUUCCAGAAAGGCACAAGAACCUGGUCCAAGGACCAAGUGGAACCUAUCUUGCCUUCAGGCUCCCUAUGUUAUCUCAACUCUGAGGAGCCCUAUUUUCCAACAGGUCUUCUAAAACAACUGGAAUCAUGUUCCCUAAUUUUGAACAACAUGGGUAACAUACCAGGAAGCUUCAACAAACAGAAGCAAAGGAGUACUCACCAGAAAGGGUUAUGGCUUCAUAAAAAAGAACAAAAAACAAAAAGCAUAAUAGAACCUGAAUAAGCCUGAGAGCUCAAAACCCAAGGAGAGCAGAGCUCAAAACCCAGGGUCACCAGAAAGCAGUGAGUUUAAGGGCUCUGUGGCUACCAGCACCUGUGUGCUCACCAGCCUUAGAGUUAUGAUGUGUCUCUUCUGGACCCCAUCUCUCUGACACUGUUUAGUGUUUAAUGUUGAUGAGAGAAAGACUCUCUAAAGGCCUGGUAUACAAGGGAAGCCAUUUUAGAUUUCUAAAUCAAUAUGCCUGUAUAUACACUUUGUUCAAACCAAAAGCCUGAUUUAUGGCCCGCCAUGCAUGCAUUGGUACAUCUGCUUGGUGAAUGACUAACCUAAGGAAAAAAUAUCUUGUUCUUGAGGUAUUGAUCAAUGCUCCCACUCCCUGCAUUCCUUUAUGGUAAAACUCAUGAUUCUUGCCUGUAUGCUAAUCUAUAAUCUUUUGAGCUCUUAUAGGAUGUAAAAAAAAGUGUAUAACCCUGUAAAAACUGUUCUUUCUCCAGAGCACUGUCUUCCUUGUGAAGAGCAUGUUUCCAGGCAGUUGUUCUAAUUUUAAAUUGAAUAAAACUCCCUUACUUUUAGAGAUUCUAAAAGGUGUGUUUGGUUUACAGUGACAGUGUCAAUCUUAAAAAUAAAAUAGCCACACACACAAAAAAAAGCCAUUUAUUUUCUUGCAAAAUGAGUUUAUUUGGGAAUAACAGAGGAACUACAAUUUAGAACAAAAUUAUGGCAGGCCACAGACAGAUCCAAAGAGACAAAUGGAGGGUCAGUUUUUAUUAGGUUUCAAGAGGAAAUUGGGGAGGAUUGCUUGAACAAAAGUUCAUUGGAAAAGAACAAGAGUUUGAGUUUGUGGUGGUUUCUCUUUGGCUGCAAGGAGCAGUUAGUGCAUUGUUGCUGGGGCAAGGAGAGAUCUUCCUUCUUUUCUUAAAAGCAGGAGGUAAAACUCCAACAUAAAAAAUGCCUUCCUUAGUCAAGAUAAGAAUUAUCCUCCUCUCUGUUGGUUAUGUAGGCUCCAAUGCGUGCUACCUGUAUGAGAUCUCCACUUUUAGGGCUUCCCUACUUCACUUAAAAUGAAGUUUCAUUUACUAGUUUUCAUAGGGACAAGGUACAUGCAUACUCACAAGCCCUAACUUACCCAAUAGGUAGUAGUGCCUCUGAAUAUAGAGCUUUAGGUAUUGGACUGCCUUGGUGGGGCCAGGAGGGCUGGAGUAACUCCUGUGAGCCAUUGUGGCUAGAGGAACCAUGAGACCUUCAAGCAGUAAGCCCAAAUAAGGAAUGACUGUCCCCAAUUUGUAGCUGUUGCCUCAGGGCGAUGCUUAGGAGUCCCCGCCACACUGAACUUAUCAGGUGUUUGGGGUUCAGCUCUAACUACAACAGCCAAGUGGGCCCUGGUUGCCUUAGACCAACUGAAUGGCUUUGAACUAUGUAUGCCUUGGCAGCACAGUUCAGGGUAGCCAGGAUCCUAGAACUAGAUAAGAGUCAGGAGAGGCCAAGUCUCGAGAGAAAGAUGUUGGGAGUCCAUAGUGCCUGUAUAAUUCCAAACCCUAACCCACACAAAUGCACUUAUUCCUUCUGAAUGCAAAGAUGGAAGAGUCUGGACUGCCUUGUCAGGAUAGGGCUGGGCAGACUGACUGGGGUAGCCUCUAAUAAGGGAUGCCUGGGAGCCUAGAUUACUGUAAGCCUGAGACUCAAUCAAGUGGCCAGUCUAAAUGGGGACUGAUGGUUGCAAGUUUAAAGCUGCUACCUUGGAAAGGUUUUCAGGAUGGGGUCCCUCCCUGCUAGAGAAUAUAAAGAUGGUGAGUCACAGUGUGAGCUCCACAGGACCUGCAAAGCCCUGGCCGCCAUAGGGCCAACUGACAAAGUACAGUCUGCACAUGUGUGGGUUGACAAGUUAGGGUAGCCAGGAAACUAGAAUGAGAAAAAAUCAGGUAUGACUGGAUUAUAGCAUGGGGCUAUUGUGGGUACUCCUAUCCUCCUAAAUCUAAGCUUUUACCUACACAAAAGUGCAUAUUCCCCCUGAAGGCAGAGUUAGAGGAAUCUGGACUGCUUGGCCAGAGUGGGGCUGGACCUGGGUAUCUUCCAAUAAGAGACACCUUUCAGCCUUGAAAGCUGGAGAAGCCAACACCUCAUCAGGCAGCUAGCCCAAAUAGGACUGAUUGUCACCAGUUUCAAGUUGCCACCUUAGGAAGAGCUUAGGGGGUAGGCUCCCCACCACUGGCAGGAUAGGCAGGUGUUUGAGGACCAGCUCUAGCUCCACAGGUCUGAAGGGCCCCAGCUUUCCAAGGCCAACUGGUAGUAUGUACGGUGCAUGAAUAAAAUGCAAAGGUCAGGGUAGCCAGAGACCUGAAAUGGGACAAGUGUCAGGAGAGGCUAGAUUAUGGCAGCAGGCUAUUGGGGAUAUCUGGAAUCUACCUAAUUUCAAGCUCUAACCUACACAGAUACACAUGUGGAGACCAAGGGAAGGGCACCCCAAAAUGUGCCACUUUGGCAUGUUCAUUCUUUCAAAUUAAAGUUACUUAAGAAACAGUCACUGCAAGGACACCCUGAGCCUUCUUCUUCUCCAGAGAGCAGGAAAUAAAUGUCCCAUGGAAAGGUACCCUUCCUUCCUGUAUCAGGAGGUAAAAUGACAAUUUUAUCACCAGAGAGAAGGGAUUCAGAACCAAGAAGUCUAUAUAAAUAAACCUUGUUAGUAAUAAUUUACUAACCCCAGCCCAAAUUCUGUUAGAAUGCCUUACUAAUUGAAGCUUCUGAAUGUAACUUUUCUUUGUCCUCAAUUCCUCACAGAUUUAUUGUUUGUCCAAAAAGUAUAAAAGCUGCCUGCUUUGGUUAUUUCUUUGGGCCUCAACUUGAAUAUUUGGCCUCCAUGGUCAUGUAAUUUUUCCUCCUCAACAGUUGGGAAGAUAACACUAACUGGUUGCACACCAGUGCUGCUGGAGAAUCCUGGGACAUCUCACAGAAGCCAUCAGAGGGAAUUAUCAUCAGGAAAGACUACAGGCAUAAACCCCAUUAGCCUGGUGUUUGAGCCAGCCUCACAAACCGCUCUUCUUUCCAGCUUAUCUCUUACCUCAGGCAAAUGAAAGCGAAAGCUCCCCCAGAGGGAUAAGAGCUGCCCAGAUGAUGACCUCCAGCCACACCAGUCUGAGCCUAAGCCCGGACUCCUGCUUGCGCAGACGGAUCACGCAGUGACCUGCAGAAUGAUCGGGACAACUUUUACCUCAUUGUGAUACUAAGACCUCCGCCCAGCGAGGAGCUGGAGCCUCAUUUACGUAACCUGCAAGGUGUGGACCGGCGUGUUUCUUUAUGGCACAUGCACCCUACUAUGCCCACGCCCACCUACGAGGGGGGAAGGGAGGAUCCAGUCCGCAUCGGGCUCCCCCGCAGGGAACCUGCUGCUCCCUCUGCCUAUGUCUCUGCCUCUCGC